AUUAGUGAGGCUCCAUGAGGUCAGCCAGGUCUCUUGACCCCAGCCAGGACCUCUUCCCACCACAUCAGGCUCCAGCUCCCUCCUCAGGCACCCAGACAAACCCCUCCACCGCCUAUGACAAAGAGGCUCAUUUGGAGCCUGGGCAAGAUUUGCAAACGUCAACCUUGUAAUUACAAGGAUGAAAUCAUCUGGUUCCUUUUAAGCAAAAGGGUUUAUUGAUCCCAACACUGAAGAAAUGCUAUUCUGGGUCCUCUGCUCAAGAAAAUCUUCCCACCUUGGUGGUCAAAGUCACUGGCACUGUAAGUGCGCGCUGCUUACAAACUUCACUGCUAAAACCCUUGACCGCAAAGGUUGGGACUGCAGCUCAGUGGUGUAGCGCUUGACUAGGUGAAUUGCUUGACGAGGUAAAUCCCUGGGUUUGAACUGCAUGGUGGUUUGAGUGAGAAAUGGCCCCCCAUAGGCUCAGAGGUUAGAAUACUUAAUCCCCAGUGAUAGCCCUGUUGAGGUAGGUCGAGGAAGUGUGGCCUUGCUGGAGGAAAUGUGUCCCCAGGGCCAUCUUUGAGGUUUCAAAGCCACUGGCAUUCCUACAUCUUAUUCUACUCUAUGCUGAUGCUGUGAAAGAUGUGUCCUGCCUCUGUCACCACGCCCCACCAUCAGGGACUGUAACCCUCUGGAGUGGUCAGCUUACACAAACUCUUCUAUAAGGUGCCUUGGACAUAGUGUUUUAUCAUAGUAGUAGAAGAGUAAACACACACACACACACACACACCACUCCCACCAACAAACCUUUCAUUUUGGGUAAUCAACUCUCCAGACUUCAGUUAAGAUGAUUAACCCUCCUCCUUUGUUAGGGGCUGAGCAGCUUCUGAGGGUUGGGCGGUGGGGAGCAGGGGUAGUCAUUGCUGAGAGAGCUGUCUAUGGCAAACUAGGACAGUUCCUUACCCACGUUUAGGUCCCUAUCUAAUAAAUGUGACUGGGCUGGACUGGCGGUGAAAUUCUGCCAAAAACUGUAUUCAAGCAGGCAUUAACCACUGACCUCAGAACUGAGUCCAGUGACUCAUAAGUGUCUUUUCACAAUCCUUAGCAUCUGGCCAGCUGCUGCCAAGAGCAGGCACUUACCUGCCAUCCUUGAACUGAACUUUUAACAAACUGCGAUUUUUUUAAGGAUCAGAGUUUAUUGAAGGUCAGCUUUACCUCAAGCUCUGCUGCAAACCCAGAGUCAGACUUUCUUCUGCUCUGGCAAGUUCUAGAGAACUUGCAGAUCUUGUUUUUUUUUUGUUUUUUUUUUUGUUUUUUUUUCUUAUUUGAUUGCACAUUUGGGUAAAAAUAUGGACUGGCAACGGGUUACAUAUAAUUAAGAUAGUUUUCCUUUAAAUGAUGUGCUAGAUCUACAUAAACACUCUCCUACUAACGCCAUGAACUUAUGAGUGUGCAUUUUGGAAAUUACUAAUCUGAGACUUACUGGUCUGGUACUUGUCUAAACCUUGUCUGUAGGCAGAGCUACACGGAAUCCUAGGGCCAACCCCGGUCCGGUAGACACCACCUUUCUUCCACCAUGAUUUGGUUAGAUGCCUACUUCCACCUUUCAGUGCACAGUCCACAUCCCUCCCUAUCGGUGUGGACUAUGCAAAGUCCUCAAGGACUUAGGUUUCCUUGAAUUCAAGUGGCCCAUUUGGGGUUAUUCUGCGUGGCUGGCUGGGGGAGCCAAGAAGUUCCAGAUCGCCCACAGAGGGC
rnacentral:lncRNA from 1 species